rnacentral:rRNA from 1 species
AGUGAACGCUGGCGGUAGGCCUAACACAUGCAAGUCGAACGGCAGCACAGUAAGAGCUUGCUCUUACGGGUGGCGAGUGGCGGACGGGUGAGGAAUACAUCGGAAUCUACUUUUUCGUGGGGGAUAACGUAGGGAAACUUACGCUAAUACCGCAUACGACCUACGGGUGAAAGCAGGGGAUCUUCGGACCUUGCGCGAUUGAAUGAGCCGAUGUCGGAUUAGCUAGUUGGCGGGGUAAAGGCCCACCAAGGCGACGAUCCGUAGCUGGUCUGAGAGGAUGAUCAGCCACACUGGAACUGAGACACGGUCCAGACUCCUACGGGAGGCAGCAGUGGGGAAUAUUGGACAAUGGGCGCAAGCCUGAUCCAGCCAUACCGCGUGGGUGAAGAAGGCCUUCGGGUUGUAAAGCCCUUUUGUUGGGAAAGAAAAGAAGCAGGUUAAUACCUCGCUGUUCUGACGGUACCCAAAGAAUAAGCACCGGCUAACUUCGUG